AUCAGGGCAGUGAAAAGCGCUUUGGACUUCUAAUCCAAAGGUCGUGGGUUUGAAUCCCGCCUGGGAUG